UACGGCUCAGUAACACGUAGUCAACCUAACCUAUGGACGGGGAUAACCUCGGGAAACUGAGAAUAAUACCCGAUAGAUCAUGAUACCUGGAACGGUUUAUGGUUCAAAUGAUUUAUCGCCAUAGGAUGGGACUGCGGUCUAUCAGCUUGUUGGUGAGGUAAUGGCCCACCAAGGCUAUAACAGAUACGGGCUCUGAGAGGAGGGGCCCGGAGAUGGGUACUGAGACACGGACCCAGGUCCUAUGGGGCGCAGCAGGCGAGAAACCUUUGCAAUGUGCGAAAGCACGACAAGGUUAAUCCGAGUGAUUCCUGCUAAAGGAAUCUUUUGUUAGUCAUAAAACCACUGAUGAAUAAGGGGUGGGCAAGUUCUGGUGUCAGCCGCCGCGGUAAUACCAGCACCUCGAGUGGUCAGGAGGUUUAUUGGGCCUAAAGCAUCCGUAGCCGGCUGUUCAAGUUUCCGGUUAAAUCCACACGCUUAACGUAUGGGCUGCCGGAAAUACUGUUCAGCUAGGGAGUGGGAGAGGUAGACGGUACUCGAUAGGAAGGGAUAAAAUCCUUUGAUCUAUUGAUGACCACCUGUGGCGAAGGCGGUCUACCAGAACACGUUCGACGGUGAGGGAUGAAAGCUGGGGGAGCAAACCGGAUUAGAUACCCGGGUAGUCCCAGCUGUAAACGAUGCAGACUCGGUGAUGCAUUGGCUUGUGGCCAGUGCAGUGCCGCAGGGAAGCCGUUAAGUUUGCCGCCUGGGAAGUACGUACGCAAGUAAGAAACUUAAAGGAAUUGGCGGGGGAGCACCACAAGGGGUGAAGCCUGCGGUUCAAUUGGAUUCAACGCCGGGA
rnacentral:rRNA from 1 species